rnacentral:rRNA from 1 species
CGGGAAACCGGAGCUAAUACCGAUAAUAUUUCGAACCGCAUGGUUCGAUAGUGAAAGGUGGUUUUGCUAUCACUUAUAGAUGGACCCGCGCCGUAUUAGCUAGUUGGUAAGGUAACGGCUUACCAAGGCGACGAUACGUAGCCGACCUGAGAGGGUGAUCGGCCACACUGGAACUGAGACACGGUCCAGCUCCUACGGAGGCAGCAGCA